GGAGAAGGGACAAUUUAUGGAAACCACUGCUCUACAGCGAUUGAAAACACCACAAGAAAAGGUGUGGAAAUCAGUGAAAUUAUUUGGUAAAUUAUUUUGCUAAAACACUCCGUGGGUACUCCAAAAAAACCCACUACAACAUGCAAAUACAAAAGAGAAAACCAAUAACCAAUAGUGGGUCCGUGUCAAACUUCCCCUCUACUUGGUAAGAGUAAAUAUAAUCCCAGACAUAUAAAUAUACACUUACCCCUCAGGAUGAAACAUGGGGUAUAUAUGUGUGGCGAAAGCAACCUCGCCACUCAACACUGGAGAAGCCUGGUUGCUCGCCUGCUCCCUUUAGACUAUGGCCCUGCAGUUCAGACCUGUUAUUUUCCCUGCUGAAAGGUUUAUUCAUGCCUUUCUGCCAGGGUGUUCGGUAGAUUCAAUCUACCGAACAACUACCGAACAAUGGACCACCUGGGAACUGGAGUGUGCCGUCAAUUGACCGCCCAGAAGCUGCGGUUAACCGCAGCUUAAUUGAUGAACGCUGGGAGGCCUUUGUUCGGUUGCCGAACACGUGGCAGCGGCCAUUUUACCUCCCGAACGGCCAGCGGUGUUCAGCGCCUAAACUAUGGAACUGAAAACGGACACUUAAUUGCGCGAACACCGCAGAGCCGCCAGCCUCCUUCCCUUCCCAUUCGAGAGCGGAACCGAAUGACUGUUCAUUCGGUAGUUUAACCGGAUGAACAGCAUCACCCAGAUAGCUAAG